UGCAAAUGGAGAUGUUACAGAGCUGCCAAGUAGAAAGGAAUUAAAAGUUCAGUGUAAAAGUUAUUAUAAAUUAGAAGGACCUGAAAAAGUAGGAUGUGUGGAAGAAGAAUGGACGGAGCUCCCGGUGUGUAAACUUACAGGAGGUGGGGGCGGUGGUGAAUUUCUACGUCCUGAUCAGAUUGGGGUUCUGCUGCCAGUCCAUAUUUGUGGAUCUCACCCCCUUAUUGUAAAUGGAGAUGUUACAGAGAUGCCAAGUGGAAAGGAAUUAAAAGUUCAGUGUGUGAAAUUACAUAAACUAGAUGGACCUAAAACUGUAGGAUGUGUUAAUGAGGAAUGGACGCCGCUUCCAGAGUGUAAACCUCCAUGUAAAGUGGAAGGUGAACGUAUUCAUUCUAGUCAGUCUGAUGAAUAUCUGCAAGAGGGUGAAGAGAAGAGAUAUUACUGUGCUUUCCUCAAGAAAAUAAAUGUCAAAUGCUUCAAAGGAAUACCAAUCUACGGUGAAUGUAAGUGUAUCCUGUGUUUUAU